GUGGGGGGAGUGCGGUGGUGAUCAAUGGGCCUAGUCCAGAAGACUCUGUCUGUAUGUCCCAUAGGGAGGUCACAAACAAGUCCUUAUUGAGGGCAGAUAUCUGGACUCACCACAUUCAGUAACUGGGAGGGAGCUGAGAACUGGAAAUUUGGCUCACUUCUCAUGUUUACAUACAUCAUGAGUGGCAUCAAGUCAUAUCCUUGACUUUAGGAUAUCUGAACCUUUGGAAAUUGUAACUAGAAGUCUUAAAACAUUAGCUAUGUAUUGAUUCUCUCACCUUCAGAACAAUGGAAUGUCCUCUUUCAUAAGAGGUGGAGUUUUCCCAUGUUGCCCAUGCUGGUCUGGAACUCCUGAGCACAGGUGAUCCACCCGCUUCUGCCUCCCAAAGUGCUGGAAUUACAGGCAUGAGUGACUGCGCCUGA